GGAGUUAGCCGGGGUUUCUUUACCAGAUACUGUCAUUAUUCAUCUCUGGCGAAAGAGCUUUACGAUCCUAAGACCUUCUUCACUCACGCGGCAUGGCUGGAUCAGGCUUGCGCCCAUUGUCCAAGAUUCCCCA
rnacentral:rRNA from 1 species